rnacentral:rRNA from 1 species
UACGGGGGGGGGCAAGCGUUGUUCGGAAUUACUGGGCGUAAAGGGCUCGUAGGCGGCCAACUAAGUCGGACGUGAAAUCCCUCGGCUUAACCGGGGAACUGCGUCCGAUACUGGAUGGCUGGAGUAUGGGAGAGGGAUGCGGAAUUCCAGGUGUAGCGGUGAAAUGCGUAGAUAUCUGGAGGAACACCGGUGGCGAAGGCGGCAUCCUGGACCAUUACUGACGCUGAAUAGCGAAAGCCAGGGGAGCAAACGGG